GGCUCCGUGGCUUAAUGGUUACGGCUUCUGCCUCACUAGCAGAAGGUUCAGGGAUCAAAUCCCGGUCGGUACCU
rnacentral:tRNA from 1 species